GUAGUCCACGCCGUAAACGUUGGGCACUAGGUGUGGCGACCCGACCAACGGUUGCCGUGCCGAAGCUAACGCAUUAAGUGCCCCGCCUGGGGAGUACGGCCGCAAGGCUAAAACUCAAAGGAAUUGACGGGUCCCCGCACAAGCGGCGGAGCAUGCGGCUUAAUUCGAUGCAACCCGAAGAACCUUACCUGGGUUUGACAUUAUGGGAAAAGCCGUAGAGAUACGGUGUCCGAAAGGGCCCAUAACAGGUGGUGCAUGGCUGUCGUCAGCUCGUGUCGUGAGAUGUUGGGUUAAGUCCCGCAACGAGCGCAACCCUUGUUCUAUGUUACCAGCGGGUUAUGCCGGGGACUCAUAGGAGACUGCCGGGGACAACUCGGAGGAAGGUGGGGACGACGUCAAGUCAUCAUGCCCCUUAUGCCCAGGGCUGCACGCAUGCUACAAUGGCCGGUACAACGGGCUGCGAUCCCGCGAGGGUGAGCGAAUCCCUUAAAGCCGGCCUCAGUUCAGAUUGGAGUCUGCAACUCGACUCCAUGAAGUCGGAGUCGCUAGUAAUCGCGAAUCAGCAAUGUCGCGGUGAAUGCGUUCUCGGGGAUUGUACACACCGCCCGUCAAGUCACGAAAGCUGGCAACACCCGAAAUCAGUGGCCCAACCAUUUAUUUGGAGGGAGCUGCCUAAGGUGGGGUUGGUGAUUGGGACU
rnacentral:rRNA from 1 species